rnacentral:rRNA from 1 species
AACGAACGCUGGCGGCAGGCCUAACACAUGCAAGUCGAACGAAAUCUUCGGAGUUAGUGGCGCACGGGUGCGUAACACGUGGGAACCUGCCUUUAGGUUCGGAAUAACUCCGGGAAACUGGUGCUAAUACCGGAUAAGCCCUUCGGGGGAAAGAUUUAUCGCCUUUGGAUCGGCCCGCGUCUGAUUAGCUAGUUGGUGAGGUAAAGGCUCACCAAGGCGACGAUCCGUAGCUGGUCUGAGAGGAUGAUCAGCCACACUGGGACUGAGACACGGCCCAGACUCCUACGGGAGGCAGCAGUGGGGAAUAUUGCGCAAUGGGCGAAAGCCUGACGCAGCCAUGCCGCGUGAAUGAUGAAGGUCUUAGGAUUGUAAAACUCUUUCACCCGGGACGAUAAUGACGGUACCGGGAGAAGAAGCCCCGGCUAACUUCGUG